GAUGGAAGAAAACCAACAAUUAAUACAGAUGGAGAAUUUGUUUAGCACUCAAAAACAUGUACUUAAACAAGGUUGGAUUGUUCUAUUUCCUAGUCUUCCUUGGCAACUCAAGAUUAGCACUUCACAGCAUUAUAAGUUGUGGAACCAGCUUCAUAGAGAGAAAAAAUGUUAAAAUAGAUUGUGGGGUGACAAGAGUGCUUGGCCAGUUUAUCCCAGUCAUAUGGAACAAUAUAUGUGGAGCAUAUCGCUUGAGCUAAGACGGACCAUUUUCGUUCCUUCUUCUCAAUCAAAUUAUCUUAUUCAGGAAAAAUAAAAUAAAAAAGUUCCAUUUUUGUAUCUGAAAAGGUAACUGGACCAUCUUGUGGUCCA